rnacentral:rRNA from 1 species
GACGAACCGUGCGAACGUUGUUCGGAAUCACUGGGCUUAAAGGGCGCGUAGGCGGCCCGCCGCGUCCGGGGUGAAAUCCUCCCGCUCAACGGGAGAACGGCCUCGGAUACGGGCUGGCUGGGGCGCGGUCGAAGGAGACGGAAUGCCGGGUGUAGUGGUGAAAUGCGUAGAGAUCCGGCGGAACACCGGUGGUGAAGGCGGUCUCCUGGGCCGAGGGCCGACGCUGAUGCGCGAGAGCGUGGGGAGCGAACCGG